UAGGGAAUCUUCGGAAAUGGACGAAAGUCUGACCGAGCAACGCCGCGUGAGUGAAGAAGGUUUUCGGAACGUAAAACUCUGUUGUUAGAGAAGAACAAGGACGUUAGUAACUGAACGUCCCCUGACGGUAUCUAACCAGAAAGCCACGGCUAACUACGUGCCAGCAGCCGCGGUAAUACGUAGGUGGCAAGCGUUGUCCGGAUUUAUUGGACGUAAAGCGAGCGCAGGCGGUUUCUUAAGUCUGAUGUGAAAGCCCCCGGCUCAACCGGGGAGGGUCAUGGGAAACUGGGAGACUUGAGUGCACAAGAGGAGAGUGGAAUUCCAUGUGUAGCGGUGAAAUGCGUAGAUAUAUGGAGAAACACCAGUGGUGAAGGCGGCUCUCUGGUCUGUAACUGACGCUGAGGCUCGAAAGCGUGGGGAGCAAACAGG
rnacentral:rRNA from 1 species